GACAGAGGUGGCUAGCGUUGUUCGGAUUCAUUGGGUGUAAAGGGUGCGUAGGCGGUUUGGGAAGUCAGAUGUGAAAGCCCACAGCUCAACUGUGGAAUUGCAUCUGAAACUUCCAGACUAGAGUGCGACAGAGGUGAAGGGAAUUCCCGGUGUAAGGGUGAAAUCUGCAGAGAUCGGGAGGAACACCAGUAGCGAAGGCGCUUCACUGGCUCGCAACUGACGCUGAGUGCACGAAGGCGUGGGGAGCAAACGGG
rnacentral:rRNA from 1 species